UAAAAGUAGCAAUACGUUGGUGGCGACCGGCGCGACGGGUGAGUAACGCGUAUGCAACCUACCUAUCAGAGGGGAAUAACCCGGCGAAAGUCGGACUAAUACCGCAUAAAACAGGGGCACCGCAUGGUGAUAUUUGUUAAAGAAAUUCGCUGAUAGAUGGGCAUGCGUUCCAUUAGGUAGUUGGUGAGGUAACGGCUCACCAAGCCGACGAUGGAUAGGGGAACUGAGAGGUUGGUCCCCCACACUGGUACUGAGACACGGACCAGACUCCUACGGGAGGCAGCAGUGAGGAAUAUUGGUCAAUGGGCGGGAGCCUGAACCAGCCAAGUCGCGUGGAAAAGGAAGAAGGAUCUAUGGUUCGUAAACUUCUUUUGCAGGGGAAUAAAGUGCAGGACGUGUCCUGUUUUGUAUGUACCCUGAGAAUAAGGAUCGGCUAACUCCGUGCCAGCAGCCGC
rnacentral:rRNA from 1 species